UGAUGGAUGAUAAUAUACUAUUUAGAACAUGUUUUUACACACUGCUUUAUAGUAUAGAUUAUGGAUGACUUUAUAAUAUGAAGAUGCUUUUGAGAUAUAUGUACCUAUAUUUGGAAAGAUUAUAUUCAAUGUUUUUUGCAUAUCUAGUGGUCACUGUUCUGGGUGAUGAUACUUAUAUUGGCUUUGGCCGAGUAUAGGUUGGUGCCUGAAGGUGAUCAUACUCUUAUAUUAGCUUCGACUGGGAGUAGGUUGGUGCCUGAGGGUGCUGACACUUUUAUAUUGGCUUUGGCCGGGUGUAGGUUGGUGGCUUCGGCUAGGCGUAGAUUGGUGGCUUCGGCCAUAUGAUACUAACAAUGAUACCACUAGUUAGCACACUAUAUGUACGAGAUACGUUUUAUGAAAGUUUUAU
rnacentral:lncRNA from 1 species